GUUAAUGUGCAAAAACUAGGUUGCUGACUCGCCAUAAAAAAAUGGGGAUGGACUGGAUGGUGCCAUUGAGGUUGCUUACCGCUUCCUAUCUGCACAAAUGGGGCAUAACCAUCUUAGAACGUGCUAUCCAAAAUCCUUGACAGAUAGGCUGAUGGGGAAAAAUAAUAAAAAAAUAGCUGAUAGCCAUGCACAGUACAGGUGUCCUUGAUAUCAAUUUGAAGCAUACAACAUUAAUGUCCAUCGGUGUCCUUUCCAUUAAGAUGCGAAAAAAAUCUCUAAGCAUGGGGUAGAGUGGUACUCAGAGCACAAGUAGAGAAGACAAGGGUUCAGAGAAGAUCAAAGAUCAACGAAUUUGGUUUGAUCAAAAUAACAGCUCCAGUAACCAUCACCCCCAACAGAUUGAAUUAGGUUAGAGUCAUGACAUGCAAGUAAGCUCCUUGGAAAUUUAUGUUUAAUAUCUUGGUCUUCUCUGAGCUACUCGGCACCAGAUUGGCCUCAGUUCUUCAAUUUAAUCCCAACGUUUUCCUUUCUCAUGGUGAUGAUGAUGAUGGCGAUCGACUUGUGUCCCCACAAGCAUGGUGAGUGUGCAUCAUCGAUACCUCAUGUUAAUUUAAUUGUUUUUUCAGUUAAUGCCCAUAAAAAACAAAUAUUACUGGUAGGAACUAGGGGCAUUUUCGUAAUUUUAUCACAAAGCAAUGGCAUUUUCGAAGCCUUUAUUAUAUAAAAGAGAGCGGAUUUAGCGACUCCGACGAAAAUCUGAUUCAUCAUUCAUGCAUGCAUAGAUAUAAAAAUAUAGGCUUCUCCGCCGCAUCGGAGUUGCAGUCACCGCCGCUUUUAUUUAAUUUUUUUUUUAUCAUUUUUAUAUGGCGUCGGAACGAUUACUUUUAUGUCAAACAAAAAAUAUGAAUUAGAACAAAAACGAAAAGACAGACAGGUCACAUUCUUCUCCGCCUCCUUGUUAGAGAACCCCAAACCAAAGCUCAGUUCAAAAAACCCAGAAGAGAAAAUCAAAGAAGUUGAGUUUUCUUUUUGUUUGAAAGUUUUGGAUUAUUUGCCCAAAUUAUGGGAUCUGCUUCAAUGGAACCUGCUCUUUUGGAUGAUAUAAUAUGUCGCUUAUUGGAGUUUAAGCAAGCGAGGCCAGCUAAGCAAGUGCAGCUGAUGGAAGGUGAGAUCCGUCAGCUUUGCACUGUUGCAAGAGGAAUCUUUCUUCAACAGCCUAAUCUUCUUGAACUUGAAGCUCCCAUCAAGAUCUGUGGUGACAUUCAUGGGCAGUAUGCUGAUCUUCUGCGGCUUUUUGAAUAUGGGGGUUUCCCUCCUAAUGCUAAUUAUUUAUUCCUGGGGGACUAUGUUGAUCGUGGCAAGCAGAGUCUAGAAACAAUAUGCCUUUUGCUAGCCUAUAAGAUCAAAUAUCCUGAGAACUUCUUUCUUUUGAGAGGGAAUCAUGAAUGUGCUUCUAUUAAUCGGAUUUAUGGAUUUUAUGAUGAAUGCAAACAAAGGUUCAAUGUGAGACUUUGGAGAACAUUUACUGAUUGUUUUAACUGUCUUCCAGUGGCUGCUCUAAUAGAUGACAAAAUAUUGUGCAUGCAUGGUGGCCUUUCCCCUGAUCUAACUAAUUUAGAUCAAAUUAGGAAUUUAACCCGUCCAACUGAUGUUCCAGAUUCUGGUUUGCUUUGUGAUUUACUUUGGUCAGAUCCUGGCAGGGAUAUCAAAGGCUGGGGUUUGAAUGAUCGAGGAGUCUCAUUCACCUUUGGCCCAGAUAGAGUCUCUGACUUCUUAAUGAAAAAUGACAUGGACCUUGUUUGCCGUGCCCAUCAGGUUGUUGAAGAUGGAUACGAGUUCUUUGCUGACAGACAGCUUGUUACAAUAUUUUCCGCUCCCAACUAUUGUGGCGAAUUUGAUAAUGCUGGUGCAAUGAUGAGUGUUGAUGAAAGCCUAAUGUGCUCUUUCCAAAUUCUUAAGCCUGCAGAUAAAAAGUCCAGGUUUAUUUGAGGGACAUGAUGACUGCUGUUUCUGUUCCCAUGUAGAAUGGCUAUUGGUUACGGUAAAUUUUUGUUGCCAUAAUUUCCUCUGAUUUGACUCUCUACAUGAAUCAAAAUGUUAAAAGGAAAAACAAUUUUGGGGCCAACUAUUAUCAUGGACAACCGAGUUAAGCUUGAUGGAUUCUAAGAGACAUGGUAUUUGUAAUUUGUGGAACUCUUUGAGACCUCAUGAGAGAAACAUUGUAAUUUAUAGAACUGUAAAUGUAGAGAAGUUACGUUCAAGAAACAGAAUGACUUAUUUGUCCUGUCUAGACACAGAUUUGAGUUAAAUUCAUCCUGUGGAGCGGCAUUGAAUUUUGACUUUGACCUUUGUGCUUUAAUUUUAUGCCUUCUUACUCUGAAGCCCUGAUUUUGUUACGUUGGUGUCAUGACUCACCCUGUUAUCACUUUCUUCUUCUUUGAAACUUUAACUAGUGAUAUGAGGAGAAACCCAGCAUUAAAGUAAUUACUGAUUCGGCAGUGAAGCAAAAGGGUCACUAUCUCAGUGAAGAAAAGCUUCCAUAGUUUACCCAAAUCCAAUUGUCAUUUGAGAAGAAACCUUCAAAGGUUGCUGGUAUGUGUUAUGCAAUAUGACCAUUUCCUCACCAUGUUAAGGGUACAGGUUUUCUGUUUAGAUUAUUUAUAACCAUAUGAAAUCAAAAGACAAUACAUGGUUGACAUUGAGCUCAACAUAUGUUUGACACGUGGUGUCUUUGAAUUUUUUUUGCCAUUUUUUUAGUACCAAGGGCAUUUCAGUGCUUUCCUUUAUUUAUUUAUUUUUUGCACCUAAGAAGCGAGGAGUGAGGGAGAAGAGUUGGUAAAAAGAAUGAGGG